UAAUUAUUCCGUAUUUAUCCUUCCUCUCACCUUGUUCUUCUUCGCCUCUUAUAACAGAAACAAAUCUUAUCGCUCCUACCACCGUCUCCAACGCUCCCACCACCACCAUCUUCAUUGCUCCCACCAUCACCACAAUUUCUAUCGCCGCCACUACUACCACCACCAUCUCUAUCGUCGUCACCACGACCAACAUCAUCACAUCUGCAACACCACUGUCUUAUUUGUGAAAGUAAGAUUAUACAUCAGUAAAGUUUUAGAUCUGAUUUGCAUCCACCUCCACCACCAAUACUUUCAUCAACCCAACCAUCUCCAAUUUUCGCACCACCUCUUAGUCCUCCACCAACUCCACCACCACCACCACCACCACCACCUAAUCCACCACAAAUUUUAAGGUUUUUUAAAAUACGCGAGGUUUUUUUUCUUUUUGUUUUAAAAAUCAGUGAGAAGAAGAAGAUGAAGAAUCAAUUAGCUCCAAUCAACACCGACGAUUUGUUCAGAUCCAGAACAUUUCGAAAUCCACAUUGCAUGUUGAUUUUUGAUUUCAUCCAUCUUGAUCUCUUUCUAUAUCUCUUUCUUAUUUGAAUGGAUUACAACAGAGAAGGAAUUCAUGGCAAGAUGAAAUGAUGCUCCAGAAAAUGAUUAUACUUACUUUAUUUACUACAAGCAUACCUUAACAUGGGCAUCUGAAACAAGGAAUUCUCAUGGGGAUUCCCUUGUUUGUAGCUGUGUUGGAGGGCGAUGAGAGAAUGUGCCCAUCAUGGUCAGUUUUCUUAUUAUGAAAGUUGAAUUAAUAGAUUAAAAUUUGAACUGCUAUUAGGUACUAUGUAUAAAGUAUGAGAAAUUUCGCUUUAAGCGUUUACAUCUGUUUAAUGCUCAGCUGGUAUGAAUCACUAUUUUAAUUUGGUUAGAUACUAUGGAUACAUUUAUAUGAUCUAAUGUCGACUGUAACUUUUGUUGGAUG